GGACCUGUGGUCUAGCGGUUAUGACGCCGCCCUUACAAGGCGGAGCUCGCCGGUUCGAUCCCGGCCAGGUCCA
rnacentral:tRNA from 2 species